AUUAUUUCUUAAUUACGCUUUUAACAGACAGUAUGGUUCAAUUUUGUCAAAAGCAUUGCUGAUGAAUUUUUCACUUGCAAUUGAAUAAAUCGACCUCAUUGAAUACCUAUUCAUAUGACCGCUAAUUUAACCUCUUAGAUAGAGAUUAGUUAAUAGCUAUAAGAAGAUGUGGUAUGAGUGCCAAUGAAACAACUCUCCAUCCAAGUCACAAUUUAUAAAAGUAAACCAUUAAAGGUCAAAGUAUAAAUAAAUAUUACUUUAUGCAUGUAUAAGGCAUGUUUCAGGAAAAAGAAUGUUAACAUUGAAAGUGAAAAAAUGGUGAACCAUUUUGUUGACUGAUUCUAUCCACAAAAACUCAAUCUUAUACCGGUAAAAAUGAUGAUAAACUUAUUUUUAUGUCCCACCUAUGAUAGUAGAGGGGCAUUAUGUUUUCUGGUCUGUCUGUCCCGCUUCAGUUUAAAGUUUUUGGUCAAGGUAGUUUUUGAUGAAGUUGAAGUCCAAUCAACUUGAAACUUAGUACACAUGUUUCCUAUGAUAUGAUCUUUCUAAUUUUUAAUGCCAAGUUAGAGUUUUUAUGUUUAUAUCAGGUUAUGUGACCAUAGCAGUCUUUAGAGUAUCUUCAGAGUUAACUAUAUGGCGUCUAGACUAAUAGACAUAUCAUAGUUGUUAAUUGUUUAUUUCAGACUACUUGUUAUUUUGAUAUACGUUUUAGUGUGUCAUAAAUCAAAUAUGAGAAUUUGAGUAAAAUCAGUGAACUAAACAGCUAAUGCCCCUUUAAUUUCGCAUGCAUGAAAAAUAUUGUUAUAUGUUUUUUUACUUUUAUUAAAAUGAGUGUCUUUGUGUAUCAUGUGUAUUGCAUUUUUAAUUACAGCAGAUGACAUUUUGUUUAUGAAAUGUUAUUGAAUUGCUAAAAAACAACUGCCAUUUCUUAGAGAAAACAGUUUCUUUGUAUUUGAUCUGUAUUAUGUACUUUUACUUUAUAUUAUCUUAAAUUUUCAUUUGAACCAGAAAGUCUUGAUGAUCAAAUUACAUCUUCAGCAUAAAUAGUCUAACAAUACAAUGUUUCAUAUUCAGAUUGGAAGACAUGUAUAUGAUAUUUGCCUCUUAUUUUAGGCAUCCAUCAAUCAGUCUUAAUAUAAGGCCACCUGUCCUUAAUAGGGCCAAAAUGUGAACUCACUAUUUAAUUUAUCAUUCUUUCAUAUUUUGUCUGACGACUUUUUCUUUAUCAUUCUUUGUAGGUCACAGGUCAAUUUCCAAGCUUGAUAAUGGUCUUGUCUAUCCUUUGUCCAGGAAAAUUAUAUCCAGUCAUUCCAUACUAUUAGAUAAUUUGUUGAUAGUUUAUGAAUGUCUUAGGGUUAGACGAGAGAUGUUAUUCCAAGCGCUAUUUUAUGGUGCUUUAUUACAAGAUACUUUUCAUCAAUGGAUUUUAUCAGAGCAUCAACAGGUGUUGACAGGAAGUAGUAUUUGAGGAACAGGAAGUACUGAACUUGUUGAUCACCUCUAUAAAGGAAGGGGUAUAUUGUUUUACCUCUGUCUAUAACACAUUACUGUUUUCUCAUCAAAUACAGCUUCUUGGUAUGGAACCAUACUUCAUCUGGUUAUGCCAUACUUUAUCACCUGUUUACACUUCCCACAAUAUUCUCCUUCUUGUAUGCUAAAAAAAUUAUGUCUUAAUAUGGGCAUAAUAAAAGUGAGCGAUGGCUCAAACUUGUUUAUUUUAGACAUGGAGUUGUCCUGAUUUUUUGAUCUUAUGGUUUUGAUGGCACUCCUGGCAUCUUCUAUCUAUCUGUUUAUCCACUAAACAAAAAUGUGUCACUUAGAAUUUAAAAUCAUGUGAUUAGCUAAACAUAUCCUAAGCUAUGGAAAUUAAAUCAAUGAUCUGAUUUAAUUUUCAUUUUGAGGUAAAAACAAUGAAAUAACCCAUAGUCAUUUGGAUCCAAAAACAGUUUUAUUAUAUACUGCUUGUCUGUCAAGUAUGUGGAACUCAGGAGCCAGAACUAAGACUUGGUGUUAUUGAAUAAUGUUUUGGAAAAGGUUAUAUCCAUGUCCUGUAAUUGAUUGAUCAUAUAUACUCAGAUAUCUAAUUUACAAAUAUAUUGUUUUGCCUAAUUUAAUACCAUGCUUAAUGUUUACUUAAAGUAAUCUUUAACUUCUCAGUGCAUACCAUCACUAUGAUUCAAAAAAUUGGAAAAUGAUGAAUUUUGUUGAGUAAGGUUAUUGAAUGUUCAUCAUUCUGAUUACAUUCCAGUAUUUCUGAUUUUGUUUUCAAUUACUUAGUAUAGCUUAUUGGAAAGUUUUUACUUAAUUUUUAAUUGGUCUUAUUUGUUAACUGACUUGAUUAAAGUAUCAGUAAGCCAAUCCUAUCCAGAAACUUUCAUAUAAAAGUAAUGGUUUCAUGGGACAGUCACUUUUAACUGCAUUCUGUUUAAUGUUUAUAGUGUUUGUAUUGUGCCAGAAGGAGGAAUGACAAACUAUUCUUAUUUCACAUUGUUUAUGGUCUUUAAGUCAGAAGGAGAAAUGACAAACUAUAUUUAUUUCACAUUGUUUUCAUUCUAUUGUGUAACCAAUGUAAAAAAUAAUGUUUAUUUAGAUAUUGUUUCCAAAGAGGAAAAUAUGCAUUUAAGGAGUAAUAUUGUAUUUUAAACCUGUUGUAUUUAUUUUUUUACUUUUAUCAAAUUCUAACAACUAAUUUAAAAAUAAUUACAAUGUUGCUUACUUUAAAGAUACACAUAGAAAUGAGAAUAAGAAGAAAAUAAACUAUAGAGUUUACAAUGUGUGACAAUUUGAAAUUAAAAAAAAAUUAAAUAUUUACUAAAUAUUUUUUAUGGCAUAUUUUUAAUGUAUACCAGUUACUGUCAGAAAUUCUAAAUUUCUUAAAUUUUUAACAGGAUUACACAAAUUUAAGUAAGCACUAUAGGAAAGGAUGUAAAAUUCCCUGUAAACAGUAGAAAAAGGUUAAUGUUAAGGUAAAAAAUUUUUCCUUGAAAUUUAUCAAAAUUGUGAGUAGACAUCAAUGCAAUUGCCAAAUCAUUCUAGUGUCAUUAUGAUUGAAAUGACGUGUUGUGCAGUUCUCAUGUUUGAAGUAUACUAUAGUAUAUCAUAGUUUUGAAGUGCAUAUUAACUUAUGUAUGCAUGUAUCUAAAUAUAAGUUUGCUGUUUAAAGGAUAAUAUAUUGUUAUGGUGAUAUAUCUUUGAUAAUUAUUUGUAGGGUUGUUACAAAUAUUGUUUUCACAUUUUUUUUAUGAAAACUAUUUAAUUACCUAUUGCCAUAUCUGUCAUACUGAUGUACAUGUAUCAUGUGCUUAUAUAUUUUUUGUAGCUAAUAAAUACAAGAGAACUUAAUA
rnacentral:lncRNA from 1 species